rnacentral:rRNA from 1 species
AGUGAACGCUGGCGGUAGGCCUAACACAUGCAAGUCGAACGGCAGCACAGUAAGAGCUUGCUCUUACGGGUGGCGAGUGGCGGACGGGUGAGGAAUACAUCGGAAUCUACUUUUUCGUGCGGGAUAACGUAGGGAAACUUACGCUAAUACCGCAUACGACCUACGGGUGAAAGCAGGGGAUCUUCGGACCUUGCGCGAUUGAAUGAGCCGAUGUCGGAUUAGCUAGUUGGCGGGGUAAAGGCCCACCAAGGCGACGAUCCGUAGCUGGUCUGAGAGGAUGAUCAGCCACACUGGAACUGAGACACGGUCCAGACUCCUACGGGAGGCAGCAGUGGGGAAUAUUGGACAAUGGGCGCAAGCCUGAUCCAGCCAUACCGCGUGGGUGAAGAAGGCCUUCGGGUUGUAAAGCCCUUUUGUUGGGAAAGAAAAGCAGCAGGUUAAUACCCCGCUGUUCUGACGGUACCCAAAGAAUAAGCACCGGCUAACUUCGUG